UUUUUCUUUUUCGUCGGAUUUUUCUGCGAUUAUCUCAGAUUCGAUUCCUGAUCGAAUCUUCGUUUCUGUUUAACUUUUCGCUCGUUUAUCGGAAUCAGGCGAUUCAAGCGCCUAGAGUUUCGUCUCGAAAUUCUCUUUCCGUUUAACCUACUCAAACAAGUUUUUGCUACAGUAAAAUUUGACCUAGAUCCAGAUUAGUAAACAAAGUUUCUUUCUUUCGCAGUUUGACUUUCGUUAUUUCUUUCGAGUUGAUUCUUUUUGCAAACCGGAGUUCUUAAGUUGAACUUUCUGGUUGGAUCUUUCAUUCGAGUUUUACCUGUGCAUUAGAUGAGUACUGAUUGUAUGCUUGUUUGUUUGCGAUAGAGUACCCGGAGUGUGCCGCUUGUUACUUCGAAUCGCUAGGUUUUGCGGAUCAUCGGCAAGGCAAGUAACACUUUGAUCAUACCUUUCCAUACCCAGUUUUAUUGCAUUAGAUCUAUUCCUCAAACAUUGCAUGACUAGGAUCUAAUUAAAUUGUGGGUAUUGGGAAGUAGUUGAGGUAGCACCUAUUACCUGUAUUCUUAUCAAACCCUUGGGAGUUACUUCUACGUUGCUUUUAUUAUUGCCAUGCUAUGCUCGUAGACGUGGAUUGGGUUUGAGUGAAAUUCAUGACAGAUGUGAGAUUGUUAACAAUGGUUUACCUAAGGUGGCAACUAAAACUCACAUCUGGGUGGAUUGAGGUACCUGGGUAUUCCAGGAUUGCCUGUUUUUCUUUUGGACCGCCACCCAGGUUCCAAGGGAUCAUAAGAUUAUUCAUGCUAGAAACUUCCGUGUGCAGCCGCAAGCUAUUAUGGGCUCUAGCAUAGUUGAUUAAGUUGUGUGAACUCUUACAGUGGUAGACUAGCAGAUGUAGGGGAAAGUAGGUGUAACUGUCUACCCAUACGUAAAGUGCAAACACUUCUGAAAGACUGUGUCUUGGUCAUCCGUUACUCAAACACCAUGUAGUGCGAGUAAUCCAACGGAGGAGAUCAAGUCUUGUGGGGAAAAGUGCACAAACCUCUGCAGAGUGUACAAACUAAUCAUGGUUAGCCAUGUCCCCGGUUAUGGACAACUUGAGUAUCUAGUACUUGGAUUAUCAUGUGAAUCUCAUCACUAUGUUACUUCUAAUUAAUUUUGUUGGGUUAUUGAUGACAUUUAAUUGGGAUUGAGAUGCUGUCAACCAUCUCAAUGUUUCACAACCACCAUGAUAGUUAAAUAAAAUUUAUUCCUUUGAAGUAGGAUAAAAUUGGCUUUUCGCAAAAAUUGAAACCAUAGAGCUUUCCACCAGCCAUAUAUGCAUGUAGUAUAGCCUUAUUAUUGUUCAUUAUUCUCUAUGUGUUACAUUGCCAGCAUAUUCUAUGUGCUGACCCGUUUACGGGCUGCAACGUUUCAUGUUGCAGACUCUUCAGACGACGAGUAAGGUGCCUUAGGUCGUGGUCUUAUACUCAGUGAUGCCGCUGGAGUUGAUGGACUCACUUAUCUUCCAAGUCUUCCGCUGUUAUCGUUAUUAGAUGGCCUUAAGCCAUGUUUAUCAUACUUAAUAUCUUUGGAGAUAUUCGAUGUAAUAAGUGUGUGAUUGCUACUCUGUUAUAAAUCCUCCAUUUGUACUGUGCGUGUCAGCAUUACUGAUCCAGGGAUGACACUGGUGCACAGCAGCACAGACCAUUUGAGGUCUGGUCGCUACAAAGUUGGUAUCAGAGCACACGCUGACUGUAGGACACGACCACUAAGCUUAAGCCCUAGAAAGCUUCUCUCUUCUCAUUUCUGACCCCUAUCCACUUUCUACUCUUUUAGGAAUGGCGAAUGCAAGGAGCAAGUUCAUGCAACCAGAUGAAGACACGCCGUUUGGUCGACACUUGAAGGAAGUCACCAAGUACUUGAACAUAGGAAUACCAAGCAUCACCGGAACCUACAACGCCACAUUACCUGAAGAGGAGAGCUGGAAGAUUCAAGUUCACAUUCCAGGAAGGACGUUUGUGCCAGUUACUGAACCCAUAAGAUUGGUUUUCGAAGCACCAACCUGGAGUUUAGGGAAGAGCAUGGCCGCACACGUCGCCAUGAGACGCAUUGGAGAAGUCUACCACCAGGAGCUUAAGGAUACAAUUUACCAAAUUUGUGGACGCCGAGACGCGCAAUGGGAGAUGAUCAGAACCAAGAAGGAUGGAUCAAUUGCAGCUUUCAUCCAGGAGGAGAACCAACACAUUCGUCGCCAGGAGAACCAGAUGUGCACGGACAAGGAAGAACUGAAGAAGGCAUUGACGAAGAUCAAGGAGCUGGAGGAAGAACUCAAGGCUACACGCGAGGAUUAUUUGGAAGAAAUCAACGCACUAGUAGGGAAGAAUGACGACCUAGAGAAGAAGAUUGGAAUAUUCAUGGGAAAUCCAGUGCCAAAGGCAGAAGUCGACGAAUGCACUUGUCCGGAUAACUACAUCAUCAUCGACGACACUGACUCGGAACCAAGUGAAUAUGACUGGGUUGACGAAGCUGGAGCAGACAUCAUGGAGUCUUCAACGGAUCAGAAUUUCUAGUAGACCACCAUAUCAGUAGUAGUUUUCCCCCAUUUAAUAGUAUAGUUCAAGCACUUUGUAACGCUAGCUAGAUCGAUUGUUUUGCCUUGUUUGAAUUGAUUGAGUGAUAUUGAUUGAAUUUGUCUCAUGAGCAUAUGGGUAGUGUUUUCUCUCUAGACCUCAUUCUAUUCUUAACUCUCAUCUUUUCUAAACCUAUCAGAUGCCUCCGAGACGCGACACCGGAUUUGUUUUCCCGCCAGAGAUCACCCAGUUGAUUCAGCAACAGAAUGCCCUGAUGCAAGUGUUAGUGCAGAACCAAGGCAACAACAACAACAACAACCCACCGCCACCACCACCUGUUGAUCACUUAGCCCGUUUCUUAAGGCUAAACCCGUCGGUGUUUUCCAGUAGCACCGAGCCGAUUGUAGCAGAUGAUUGGCUCCGCAAAGUUGGAAGGGAGUUGACCACUGCAAGAUGCACAGAUGCGGAAAGAGUGCGUUUUGCCGCACAUCAGCUUGAUGGACCCGCAGCAUCAUGGUGGGAGAAUUAUACAGCCACGCACCCUAUUGACACUGUCACAUGGGACCAGUUUCAGCAAGCUUUCCGUACAGCACAUCUUUCAGCAGGAGCUAUGGCUAUGAAGAAGCGUGAGUUUCGCAGCCUACACCAAGGAGGACGCACCGUAGGCCAGUAUGUGGAGGAUUUCAGUAAGCUAGCACGUUAUGCACCAGAUGACGUUGCUACAGAUGCAGCCAAGCAGGAGAAAUUUUUGGAAGGGCUGAAUGAUGAACUGAGUAUGCAGUUGAUGGUAGCAACCUUCAACAACUACCAGGAGCUGGUAGAUAGAGCUCUCAUGAUUGAAGGGAAGCAACAGCAGAUUGAAAACCGUAAGAGGAAGUAUGGACAAGGGAAGUAUAACUCAGGAGCUCAGCAGAAGCCUCGAUUUACCCCGAAGCCGGGAGGACAGUUUCAGCAUACCCAUGGAGGAGGUAGUUCGCACAACCAUAAUGGCUCUAAAAAUGGUAAUGGGAAUGGAGGAAGCAACGGACAGAACCGCACCAACCCAUCUACCCCAGCCAAGAGGGACCUGAGCCAAGUCACUUGUUUCAAGUGCCAGAAGAAUGGACAUUAUGCCAAUGAAUGUCCUGAAGCCCAAAAUGGAAAUGGCAAUGGAAGCUCUGGGAAGAAGCCGAACCCGUUCAACAAAGGACACGUGAACCACGUGAGCGUGGAGGAGGUUGAAGCUCAGCCUGAUGCAGUAAUAGGUAAGUUCUUGGUUAAGUCAUUUACUGCAACCGUUCUUUUCGAUACUGGUGCAUCGCAUUCAUACAUAUCAAGGGGAUUUGUGAAUAAGUUUAAGAUGUCCACCAAAGUUCUCAGAAACCCUAUGUUAGUAACCUCGCCAGGAGCAGAGUAUAUGGCCACCCAAGGAUGUUUUCAGAUACCAUUGGCCAUUGGUAGGCAUGUUUUCCCCUCAGACCUCAUAGUUUUGGAGUCGCAAGGUUUGGAUGUGAUUUUGGGGAUGGAUUGGCUAUCGUUGUAUGGAGGAAACAUCGAUUGUGCCAGCAAGACGAUUUUGCUUACCACCCCGGAAGGGAAAAGGAUCAAGUAUGUAUCCCGACAUAUGCCGAAGAGGACUCAAGUAAAUUCCUUAUCAGGAGUUGUACAGGAGGAAGUACCAGUGGUGAAGGAUUAUCCGGAUGUAUUUCCAGAAGAGUUGCCAGGCAUGCCACCAGAUAGGGACAUUGAGUUUUUGAUUGAACUUUUGCCAGGCACAGGGCCAAUAUCUAAGAGACCGUACAGGAUGCCCGCAAAAGAUUUGGAGGAAAUUAAGAAGCAGAUCAAGGAGUUACUGGAUAAAGGCUAUAUUCGCCCAAGUUCGUCACCUUGGGGAUCACCAGUACUUCUAGUGGAGAAGAAAGAUGGAUCGCUGAGGAUGGUUGUUGAUUACCGUGGAUUGAAUGAAGUAACCAUCAAAAACAAGUACCCACUGCCGAUGAUCAAUGAUUUGUUUGACCGCCUACAAGGAGCUAAAGUAUUUUCCAAGAUCGAUCUACGAUCAGGAUAUCAUCAGUUAAAGAUUCGAGAGCAGGAUAUACCAAAGACGGCUUUUACCACCAGAUAUGGAUUGUAUGAGUAUACCGUUAUGUCAUUUGGUCUGACUAACGCACCUGCCUAUUUCGAGAGCCGGAAGGUUUUGUCGAUCCUAAGAAUGCUAACAAAGUAUGCAAGCUCCAGCGCUCAAUCUAUGGGCUGGUGCAAGCAUCUCGGAGUUGGAACAUUCGCUUUGAUGAGAUGAUCAAAGCGUUUGGGUUUACACAGACUUAUGGAGAAGCCUGUGUUUACAAGAAAGUGAGUGGGAGCUCUGUAGCAUUUCUCAUAUUAUAUGUGGAUGACAUAUUAUUGAUGGGAAAUGAUAUAGAAUUCUUGGAAAGAGUAAAGGCCUAAUUGAAUAAGUGUUUUUCAAUGAAGGACCUUGGAGAAGCUGCUUAUAUAUUAGGCAUCAAGAUCUAUAGAGUUAGAUCAAGACGCCUCAUUGGUCUUUCACAGAGUACAUACCUUGACAAAAUAUUGAAGAAGUUCAAUAUGGAUCAGUCCAAGAAGGGGUUCUUGCCUGUAUUGCAAGGUGUGCAGUUGAGCAUGGCUCAAUGUCCGACCACGGCAGAAGAUAGAGAAAAGAUGAGUGUCAUCCCCUAUGCCUCGGCCAUAGGGUCUAUUAUGUAUGCCAUGCUGUGUACCAGACCUGAUGUAAACCUUGCCGUAAGUUUGGUAGGAAGGUACCAAAGUAAUCCCGGCAUGGAACACUGGACAGCGGUCAAGAAUAUCCUGAAGUACCUGAAGAGGACUAAGGAUAUGUUUCUCGUUUAUGGAUGUGACGAAGAGCUCGUCGUAAAGGGUUACGUCGACGCUAGCUUCGACACAGAUCUGGAUGACUCGAAGUCACAAACCGGAUACGUGUAUAUUUUGAAUGGAGGAGCAGUAAGCUGGUGCAGUUGCAAGCAAAGCGUCGUGGCGGGAUCUACAUGUGAAGCGGAGUACAUGGCAGCCUCGGAGGCAGCACAGGAAGCAGUCUGGAUGAAGGAGUUCAUUACCGACCUAGGGGUGAUUCCCAAUGCGUCGGGCCCGAUGACUCUCUUCUGUGACAACACUGGAGCUAUUGCCCUUGCGAAGGAGCCCAGGUUUCACAGGAAGACCAGGCAUAUCAAGCGUCGCUUCAACUCCAUUCGUGAAAGUGUUCAAAAUGGAGACAUAGAUAUUUGUAAAGUACAUACGGACCUGAAUGUAGCAGAUCCGUUGACUAAACCUCUCCCUAGAGCAAAACAUGAUCAACACCAGGACGCAAUGGGUGUUCGAUUCAUCACAAUGUAACUAGAUUAUUGACUCUAGUGCAAGUGGGAGACUGUUGGAAAUAUGCCCUAGAGGCAAUAAUAAAUGGUUAUUAUUAUAUUUCUUUGUUCAUGAUAAUCGUCUAUUGAUCAUGCUAUAAUUGUAUUGUCCGGUAAUCAUAAUACAUGUGUGAAUGCAUAGACCACAACGUGUCCCUAGUAAGCCUCUAGUUGACUAGCUCGUUGAUCAAUAGAUAGUCAUGGUUCCUGACUAUGGACAUUGGAUGUCAUUGAUAACAGGAUCACAUCAUUAGGAGAAUGAUGUGAUGGACAAGACCCAAUCCUAAGCAUAGCAUAAAAGAUCGUGUAGUUUCGUUUGCUAGAGCUUUUCCAAUGUCAAGUAUCUUUUCCUUAGACCAUGAGAUCGUGCAACUCCCGGAUACCGUAGGAGUGCUUUGGGUGUGCCAAACGUCACAACGUAACUGGGUGACUAUAAAGGUGCACUACGGGUAUCUCCGAAAGUGUUUGUUGGGUUGGCAUGGAUCGAGACUGGGAUUUGUCACUCCGUGUGACGGAGAGGUAUCUCUGGGCCCACUCGGUAAUGCAUCAUCAUAAUGAGCUCAAUGUGACUAAGGGUUAGUCACGGGAUCAUGCAUUGCGGUACGAGUAAAGAGACUUGCCGGUAACGAGAUUGAACAAGGUAUUGGGAUACCGACGAUCGAAUCUCGGGCAAGUAACAUACCGAUUAACAAAGGGAAUUGCAUACGGGAUUGAUUGAAUCCUCGACACCGUGGUUCAUCCGAUGAGAUCAUCGUGGAACAUGUGGGAGCCAACAUGGGUAUCCAGAUCCCGCUGUUGGUUAUUGACCGGAGAGGCGUCUCGGUCAUGUCAGCUUGUCUCCCGAACCCGUAGGGUCUACACACUUAAGGUUCGGUGACGCUAGGGUUGUAGAGAUAUGUGUAUGCGGAAACCCGAAAGUUGUUCGGAGUCCCGGAUGAGAUCCCGGACGUCACGAGAGGUUCCGGAAUGGUCCGGAGGUGAAGAAUUAUAUAUAGGAAGUCAAGUUUCGGCCACCGGGAAAGUUUCGGGGGUUACCGGUAUUGUACCGGGACCACCGGAAGGGUCCCCGGGGUCCACCGGGUGGGGCCACCUAUCCCGGAGGGCCCCGUGGGCUGAAGUGGGAAGGGAACCAGCCCCUAGUGGGCUGGGCGCCCCCCAUGGGCCUCCCCCCAUGCGCCUAGGGUUGGGAACCCUAGGGUGGGGGGGCUUCCCACUUGCCUUGGGGGGCAAGGCACCCCCUUUCCCCCUUUGGCCGCCGCCCCCCCUUGAGAUCCCAUCUCCAGGGCCGGCGCCCCCCCAGGGGGCCUAUAUAAAGGGGGGGAGGGCAGCAACAAGACAGCCUUGGGCGCCUCCCUCCUCCCCUGCUACACCUCUCCGUCUCGCAGAAGCUCGGCGAAGCCCUGCCGAGACCCGCUACAUCCACCACCACGCCGUCGUGCUGCUGGAUCUCCAUCAACCUCUCCUUCCCCCUUGCUGGAUCAAGAGGAGACGUCGCUGCACCGUACGUGUGUUGAACACGGAGGUGCCGUCCGUUCGGCACUCGGUCAUCGGUGAUUUGGAUCACGGCGAGUACGACUCCGUCAUCCACGUUCAUUGGAACGCUUCCGCUCGCGAUCUACAAGGGUAUGUAGAUGCACUCCUUUCCCCUCGUUGCUAGCAUACUCCAUAGAUGCAUCUUGGUGAGCGUAGGAAAAUUUUAAAUUAUGCUACGAUUCCCAACAAUUUCAGCCCAACCGACGAUGGACUCGUCGGAGCCCGACAAUUUUUUACCAAGGUGCUCCAAUUCUGCUCAAAUCCCCUCCAAUUUUCGGCGACCAACCCCGAUUCCGACCGAUUUUGAUCAAUUCCUACGUAGGCUACCGAGCGGGGCAUGGGGCGAGCAGCCAAACGGGUCCGCAUGCGCGCGUGAACAGGGGAGAGGGGUGGGGCCGCGGGCGUGCGUGAACAGGGGAGAAGGGUGGAGCCGCCGACGCGCGUGAACAGAGGAGAGGGGUGGGGCCGCGGGCGCACGUGAACACGGGAGAGGGGUGGGUCGCCGGCGUGCGUGAACAGAGAAGAUGGGUGGGGCCGUGGGCGCGCAUGAACAAGGGAGAGGGGUGGGGCCGUGGGCGCGCAUGAACAAGGGAGAGGGGUGGGGCCGCGGUGCACGCUGGGGGUUAGCCGGCCGGGGCGCCCGCCCACGAGCCGCGCGCGAGAAGGAAAGCGGGUCGGGGUUGUGGGCAGGAGCUCGAAGGCGGCUGGCCGCGGUGCGGACAUCCACUAGAUCAAGAUCGGGUACAUGGUGACCUUCAAGUUGGUGACUCCCACGCCGUGAAGGUGAUCGUCUUCAACAACGACGGCAUUAAAGUGAUGACCAAGUUGCAGGAGGCACGACGACGCAUUCAUCGUGAACGUUUAUGAGAGCUCUAUAUUGCGCAUGCUGGUUUGGUUACGACUGUGUCAUAAUGGUUCGGUUGAAAACUACUUAAUUUAAGUGUCGUACUAUGUUUGAAAACUGUUUGAAUUGAUUUAAAACUAUGUUUAUAUGAUAUUUGUUUGUGUGUCAUUGGUUUGUUCCGCAUGCCUAGUGUAUUGAUAACCUCACCACCUUCACGAGGAAGUUACCAAACAACAUGCCCUGCAUGUAAUCAAACACCAUGACUUGUGUUUUCGCCUAAACAAGUGGGCAACCAAACAACCUACCUUUCGUUUCGUCCCACGCAGGCUAGAAGGUAUGCAGUCAACCAAACAAUAUACAGAUGUUAAUAUUUUUGCAUGUUUACUUUCAAUUGAGACAUAGAUGCAAUGCAAGCAAAAGUAGAUACGGCAAACAAACACACCCAUGGUGCCUAUCAUGUUUUCCAAAAAACGCACCUCCGAAGGUGGGAUUUUUUUUAACAGAAAUCCUCCGCUACAUUUUAUUUUAUUUUUCCCUGAAAAAAAAGAAGCGGAGGAUUUCUGCCACGAUACUAUCCGCACUGUGCGCGGAGCAUCUCUUCCCCGUAGGCACACACACGGCCGUCCCUGGACCCACCUGUCUUCCACGGACAUCGACUCACCCAUCUCCGAACCGCCCCCCCUCUGUCGCCACACCCCCGUCCCCACGCCCGCGGCGCAAAACCCCGCUAAAUUUUUCGCUCCGCCCGCCCCCAAGUCUCGCCACCGCCGCCAUCCUCCAAAUCGUCGGAGAAGAUAAUCCCCAGGACCCCCUUAGGGAUGUACGCCGACAUCCAGAAGGGUCGGCCGGGCUGCCGCCCCGUCGACGCCGCCUCCAUGGCGAAGCUCAUGAAGGUCUGGGCGAGGUACUUCCCCGAGGAAACCGAGCUCCAGGUCCCGGCGGACGACCCCAGGGCCAGGCUCGUCGGCGACCUGGUUAAGGUCCUGGAGCUGGAGGAGAGGGCCAAGCUCCUCCCACGUGUAAGCAUCUGUCUCCAUUCCCCGUAUAGCGCCUCAUUUUUGGCCCAUCUCUUAUGGUGACGCGAUUCUAGGGUUGCUUACUCGGUUCGGCCGCGACGAAAUUAUGGCGGUUGCUGCGCGACUGGUUGGUGCCUAGGGUUUAUCGGAUUGGCUGAUUGAUCGUUAGUUGAAAUUUUCUGGGAGUGGCAGCUGACAUUGUAACUGUAUAUAGUUAAAAUGCUUGCAGUCUCGUGCCUAAUGUCUGUUUGGUUCCAAUUAUUUAAGUUCCUGAGCUUGCCAUUGCUAGACAUUUAAUUGGGUACCAUUGUUAGUAAAAUGUGUGUUGGUUCCUUGCUGUUAGGGCAGAAUUUGGGUAAUAAUUUACUUAUCUGAUCGAAUCGACCUCGAAAUUUGGGGCAGAAUUUGUUUCUACAAUCUUCAAGAUCAAGGUCUCAAUGCGAUGGUGGCUCCUGGUAUAUGAAGUAGUGACAUAUCUAAUCAGAAAAGGGGAAUACUCUUCUUUAUUAGGAGGGAAAAGAAUCAAGAGGAGCUUGUAAUUUUGUGAAUAACUUUGAUACUUUUGUGCUCCACUUUGUCAGUAUCAUAAGAUUACUUAUACGUUUAUACCCCAAUGUGCUGCUGCGAUAACUACCUAAAGCACGACGCAAUGUUCCAAUUGAAAAAUGAAAUCAUGGCAUCAUGUAGUUGCACAAUAAAUUACUAAUCGGGUGGAAAUGAUUUAAACACAUCGCUUCAUAGUGUGCUUUUGUCAUUACAUGGAAAAAUAUUUCCGGUUCCAGCAAAUGAACGAAUUCAUGUUAUUAUAACUUAUGACUACAUUCACAGGUUGAAGAUGAUGGUGUUGUCUUCUUCCUUCCGAUUGAUUUCCAGCAGCUUAAGAACUUGUGCGGUGGUACCAACCUCUUAGAUGCUCUCAGGGAAAAUCCUAAAGAAGCCUUGCUUUGCAUGGGAGUUGCAGUUCAUCUGGUUGAUGCUUCAUUUCAUGCUAAAAUUAUUAGUGUUGUCAGUUGUGCUUUGUUUUUUCACUCGCUGGACUUUGAUUCUUGAUGUUUUCUUCAGGUUAAGUGCUCGGGCAAUGGCCUCCAGUUGAGCGACGUAGACAAGGUCAAUAUCAGGCUUUACAACCACACCGAGACAAUAAUUGCUUUGAAGAAUUUGAAAGCGGCCUAUAUUAGUAAGAACUUCUGUCUUUAUCCGUGUGUUCUGCAUCUAAAUGAAGUACUGACUUGUUGAUUCACCUCAUAGAGAAACUAGUGACAGUGCGUGGUACUGUUGUAAAAGUCAGUACUGUGAAACCUCUAGUUCUGGCGCUGGAGUUCAAAUGCAUGAAGUGUGCUACAGUCAUCCGUCGUGUGUUCUCUGACGGGAAAUUUUCACCUCCAGUAUCCUGCAUAAUUCAGGGCUGCAAGGGCAGAACCUUCACCCCAUUGAGAUCUACUGCCAAGUUGAUAGAUUUUCAGAAAAUAAGGCAAGUGAUAAAUAGAUAAUCUGUGUCAUUCUCUGCUUAUAACACUAAGCUCUGUUUUUAUUAUUUUCAAUCCAGGAUACAGGAGCUUUCUAGUGCUGAAAACCGUGAAGAAGGCCGAGUGCCACGAACUAUAGAAUGUGAGCUUAUAGAAGAUCUUGUAGAUUGUUGCAUCCCUGGAGAGGUUGUAACGGUAGCUGGAAUCGUCAAAGUGCUGAACAACCAUAUGGAUGUUGGAGGAGGUACAAUUUUGAAGAAACUAGUAUCUUAUUUCUCGUUGUUCAUUUCUGAACCUUCCUGGAUACUAUAUUUUACAUUGUUUCAAAGCCUGAAUCCUCUUUGCAAAAAAAAUAAAAAUGCUAAUGUUCAGGUGUCCCAAAUUUCCUGCAACACCUGUAGAGCACAUAUGUUUUCAGUCUUUUGUUAAGGUUGUUCAGUAGUUUGGGUUGGUUGUCUAGUUCUGGUGCAUUAUGGACUACUAGGUGUAACCGUAUCAGGUAGUUCACAAGAACAAUUAUCAAGUUCCAUGUUACUCUUAGGGAAAACCUAUCUCCUGCUACGUUUGUUAUCCCUAAAACCUCUCCUCAUUUUAUCUUUACCUUAACCAAAACAUUCACUCUUUUUUAGACAUUGUUGCUUUCUAUGAUUUCCUUUAAUAUAAGACUCAAGAAUUGUUUGUAGAACAAUGAUGAUAGCCAAAAGGUUACUAUGUGUGGCGUCCAUGUCCUUGCCACAUGCAAUAGUCGUGAUGAUUUCUCUGUCAUGCACGGUAUCCCAUACAAAAGGCCAUGCACGCCACACAAAGCAGGAAAGUGUCGGAUCAACAGACCAUGUCAGCAAUGAGACGUGUCCAGGAGGGAUAUGUCGGGACAGACUCGGUGCUCCUGGAGGCAGCAUCCACUGCCACUGUCUUGCCGCAGCCAAAAGUUGUGGGUGAGGGGAGGACAAGUUCAAUCCCCAUGCCUCCUCAGUGCCAUCAAGGGUUAGACUGUUAGAGCAGAUUAUAGGUGGUAGGUGCAACAUAUCGGCUGGAUGGGAGAUACAAAGAGUGAGAGAUAGAGGUGAAUUGCGUCUUCAUUGAUUUAAUAUAUUACUCCCUCCGUUCCAAAUUACUCGUCGCAGAAAUGGAUGUAUCUAGAACUAAAAUACAUCUAGAUACAUCCAUACAUGCGACAAGUAAUUCGGAACGGAGGGAGUACAUUACAGUUCCUUUAUGUAGUCUCUACUGGCGUAUCUGUGUAUGACCUUAUACCUAAUAAUCCUAAGUUCCUAACUGACCACAACUCAUAUUUGAAUCUAGUUGCACUGUCCUGGACUGGUCUCGAGAUCAAUGAUACCAAUGGCAUUGAUCCGGGUGGACUAAUUGAAUGCACUGGAGCCCGAGUCAUAGACAGCCAGUAAUAGGUUUGGGUAGUUGCGGGAGCUGCAGCGUUGGCACAACUGGCCUGUAUUCUAGGCCCAGCUGAAUUGGGUUCAGCUGCUGCCCGUCUGGUGGUUAUACACCCCACAACUGAUCCCAUGAUCAUAUCCUGAUCUCUUGUGUAGUUCUUUCUGGUUCUACCAUGCAAACACAAUCAGUGAAGUUCAUAUUAGUCUGAUGCCGGUGCAUUCUUUUUCCAAAACAUUCUUGUUUGUACUAUGUAGAUGCAUAUUUUCUUAAAUUGUCCUGUGGAUAUAUACAUAUAUUUUUAAUAUCUUCAGGUAAGUCCAAAAGCAGAAAUCAGGGUUUAUACUACUUGUACUUGGAAGCAAUCUCAGUAAGGAACUCCAAGGCCCAUGUUGUUUCAGAAAAUUCAGAUGCAAGUUCUACUGAUAUUCUGGCUACUGGAUCCUUCAGUUUCGAAACUUUUACUGAUAAGGAUCUUAAAUUCAUCACCGAAUAUAAUAGCGAGCAUGGUGCUGAUGUAUUUCGUCAAAUACUUCACUCCUUUUGCCCCUCCAUCUAUGGGCAUGAACUUGUAAAGGGUAAUUUUCUAUUCUAGUACACUGUUUUAAAUCCUAAUGUGGUAUUUUCUUGCAGUAAUUUAAUUAGAAGGUAUUUGCGCUGGCUAUUUAAUGUGAUUAAAUAUUUACAUUUUGUCUGCUCAGUGUUGUCCAAACAUUUGGAAAUAAAUCAAUCUGUUGUGCUCUCUUUAGUUUCUGUAUAUAAGAAAUGAUAACUAUUAUUUUAGCUUCAUUACUUGUGGACAUGUGCAGCGUUUUCAGUAACGAUUAUUUGAUUAUUCAUUAUUUCACGGUAAGUACUCUUGUGCCGUCUCCAAAAAAACCAAUUCAGCUGUGAGGAAUUGAUCAAGCUAUUAGUGCAGAGUUCAGUAAGGGGAUAUGUUCUCUUUCUUUUCAAGAGCCAGCGUUCUAAAGAAUGAAGGAAAGAAAAGAGUGCAAACUGUAUUUUUGAACGUAAAAAUAUUAAAUUAUCAAAAGUUCGACGAGUAGAAUAAAGACAUGCCUUAUUUUCUAAGAGAGCAAACAUCAAGAAUGAAUGUUUGUCCAUCUCCAGUUCUUCUUAUGAUCAAUACCUGCAUCUUCAUUAGUACAUGACGACCUAGCUACCGCUUGCUGACUUAAAUCUUGGUGGGAAGGCGGUGCCUAAUGCUUAGGCAGCCGUCUAGUCCAAUUUUAGAACACUGUCGAUAGUGCAGAGUUCUCAUUUCAGCGCAGUAGCAUUUGCUUGGAUGCCGCUUCUUCUGAUUCGUUUUGUUUCUUUGUUGCAUUAUAUUACUGGACAUGACUAAAUUAAUGUUUCUAAAUUUCAGCUGGUAUCACUCUUGCGCUUUUUGGUGCUGUGCAGAAGCAUUCAAUGGAUCAGAACAAAGUCCCAAUUAGAGGAGACAUCCAUGUUAUUAUUGUUGGUAAUCCUUAUAAUUUACCAAUCAUGAUCCAUGUAGUACAUGCUUAGCACUUCCCAGGAUGCAAUCAUACUCUUGCUUAAUGUUGUCGCAGGCGAUCCAGGACUAGGCAAGAGCCAAUUACUAAAAGCUGCAGCAUCUGUUUCCCCACGGGGAAUAUAUGUAUGCGGGAAUACAACCACAAAUGCUGGUCUAACAGUUGCUGUGGUUAAAGAUUCAAUGACAAAUGAUUAUGCAUUUGAGGCUGGUAAGCAUGGAAGAUUUAUUUGUUCCUCACACAUUCUGUGGAGAACCUUGUCAGAAAGUCAGCUAAUUCGAUCAUUUGUUGUCAUAUAAUUGGUUGUUCUACUGUUUUGUGGCCGAUGUGGUUUGAAGUCUUAGAAUUUGUGAUUGGAUCAAAAUAAUGUUAAGCUCUUGGCUUUACAGGGGCCAUGGUUCUUGCUGACCGUGGGCUAUGUUGCAUUGAUGAGUUUGACAAAAUGUCAGCAGAGUAUCAGGUAUUAUUUUUAGUUUUCACCUGAUACAACCUUCUUGGUGAAAUGUUCAUUCAGUAAAAGAUGUUCUAUACUUUCCUUGUUUGAAAUUGAAUUUGUGUUCUCAGUCCUUACUGGAAGCCAUGGAGCAGCAGUGUGUAUCUGUGGCAAAGGCUGGCCUUGUGGCGAGUUUAUCUGCCCGCACUUCUGUGCUGGCAGCUGCUAAUCCUGUUGGUGGUCAUUACGAGUGGGUUAAUCUUUUCCAUCCUUUGAUAAAAUUUUCUACCCCUGCUUAUCGUAUGAUGUUUGUCAUUCUGGAUAUGUUGUCUUCAUUCAUCUUUCCUUCUUCAAUUGAUACUCAUUACCUGUACUGUUAUCUCUGUGCGUAUGCGCGCGAUGUGCAAUUACUACAGUGUGAUUGUUUUUGUCAACGUAAUGUUCUUUUUGCACUCACACAACCACACAAGUCACCGUGCCUGGAACAGGCAGACCUGUAAGCAAAUACCAUUUCCUUGUGUAUUCUGGUGUUGUUCCUUAUUUUUGCUUGUCAGUGAGAUGUAGGUAACAGAUCUUAAAUUCCUGGGUUGUUUUCAACUUUUAGUAAUACUAUUUUUGCAGCCGAGGCAAAACAGUGAAUGAGAAUUUAAAGAUGAAUGCUGCCCUGCUCUCUCGGUUUGACCUGGUUUUCAUUUUACUUGACCAGCCAGACUUGUUUCUAGAUAAGAGAGUAUCAGACCACAUAAUGGCAGUAAGUUUUUGUUAUCCAUUUUUUGUCCACAUCUUAAGCAUAUAGUACCGAUGAGCAAUAUCACCACAUAUAAUAAAUGUGUCAGGGCUUUAAUCUAAUUAAAAAAACUAAGGAAAAAACAACAUUUUCUACACGCAGCUCCAUACCAAUGACAGAAGUCCUUGCUCAUCCAACAAGAGGCUAAGAACAGGUCAUUCUUUGGUUAUUCCAUAGCAUUUUUAGUUCCUUUUUACAUGUGAAACCGUAUACAUCGUUAUUGAUUUGCAACUUUGCCCCAUGCCCAGUGCCUCAAUUUAAUGGCAGUAUGGGGAUUGGAAUUGAUGAGAAAAAAUUAGCUUCAAGGCUGAGACUACACCCUGAGAAAGAUAGGGACUUUGUUCCGUUACCUGAACCACUUCUUCGCAAGUAUAUAUCUUACGCGAGAAGCUAUGUUACCCCCCGGUAUUUUGUCAGCUCCUUUUCACUUAUCAAUACCAUAUAUGUAAUGCAAUGAGUUCUCAUUUUGUUAUUUUUCUUCUCUCGGCUCAAGUGUGUCAGAACCAGCAGCGGUGGUACUGCGAAAAUAUUACUUGAAUUUGAGAGCGCAUAGUACUUGUUCUGAUGGCACACCCAUCACAGCGAGACAAUUGGAAAGCCUUGUGAGGUUAGCAGAAGCUCGCGCUCGGGUGGAUCUAAGAGAAGAAGUGACUGAACAAGAUGCGAAUGUAAAUAAGUAGAAUACUUACCCCCCGGUUCCCUCCUCCCCAUUUUGUACAUAUGCGCACCUUGCACCCUUGCACUGCCAGCUUGGAUUUCUUCAUACUUCAUACCUAAAUUACCAGCAGAGAAUUUUUCUGUUGGUUUAGGUUCUUGUCCAUGAUUGCUGGGAAAAUCUGAGUUCUUUCUCAUGCUAGUUUUCAUCCUCAGCAAAUUACUGAAUCAAACUCAGAAGCAUGAUGAAUUAUGUUUUUUAAUCUCCAUAUCAUGUCGAUGUUGCAGAUUUAUUUUUUCUGUCUGUUUGCUGCUUUAUAAAUCUGAAAAUGUGAACGUACGGUGCUUAUCGCAUGCCUAAGGCUUAUGCAAAGUGUUGUCUGGCAAAUAGACAGCCGGAUAGUUAGAUGACAUCAAGAGGCACACCUAUUUAAUAAAAAAUGGGCAUGCAAUCUCAUUCUGCGUUUUAUUAUGUUGCAGGAUGUUGUUGAGAUCAUGAAUGAAUCCUUAUAUGACAAAUAUGUUGAUGAGCAUGGUUGUGUGGACUAUGCUCGGAGUGGUGGGAUGAGCCAACAAAAGGAGGCAAAAAGACUUAUGAGUGCCUUAAACAAGCAAUCUGAGUUGCAGCAAAAGGAUCAGUUUUCAAGAGCCGUAAGCAAUUAUGCAUCUAAAAUAUUUUUGAUGAAAGGCUGGUCUGUUAUUGCAUAUACGCAAACCAACUGACAUGGAAAGAGUGCCAAUUUUAGUUCAGUUACAAUUCUGGUCCUGCUAUGAUCGACGAAAUUUUGACAUACUUGCUUUUUGUGCAUUUUGAUUCUUUUGUUACGCGGUUUCUCCAGUCAAUAGGAGCAUCUUCUUGAGGUUCCUCUGAUGUUCUGUAAUUUUCCCUUUGUAGGAGAUACGGAGCUUAGCAGAUAAAAUCAGCUUGCAAGUCCCGGAUUUAGAUGAUAUUAUGGAAAGAUUGAACAGUGCCGGUUUUAUUGUACAUAAAGGACAAAACAUAUACCAGGUAUUGUCUCAUAAAACUGCUUGACAUCAAGAAGUUUUGAUGUAUACAUUAGAUGGUUAUCCUGGUGUCGUGCUGAUUAUUGAUUAUGAGUUUAUGACUGUCAGGCUCGUGAUGAGCCCUCCACUGAGAAUCUAACUUAUUAUUGUCUGUGAAACAGAUAUUGACCUCAUCAUGUUCACGGACCCAGCCAACAAGGUCAAGAUGGUGAGUUCUCUUACACCCUACAUGAAAACAUGGGAGUUUGGUGUUGGUAUUAUGCUAAAUUUUAUAUCUGUGCCACACGUUAACGUCUGGUUGAUUAACAGUUACUUUGGGUCAGUGUCCAACACUUGCCAUUGUUGUGACAAGAUAACUGUUCAAAGGUUUCCUCUUUGCUGCCGAUUCAUGAUCGUUUUUUUUCUGGCAGAUGUAGGGGGGAUAUGUUCUGCAACUAGUAUGGACCGUUAUGUACAGUAUAGUCAUGUGAUGGCCUCUAAUUAAAAUGUGCGGAUAGCUCUGUUAAUGCUGUUUAUCGUAGCAGCUGUAGCUGAUAAUGACAAAAUUAGUAUCCUUACUAGUUCCAGCAUGUUAAAGAAACAUCCUGUUUUCGUUAAAGAAUCGUCUAUGUCCUGGACAUUGGUGAUCAUGAAUGCUGAUUCUUUAUGUGAAAGAAACAUAGUGUGUUUUUUUGCGGGGAAGAAACUUAAUGCUUCUAUGAGACUUGGAAUGGAAAUAACCCCUUAGGCCUGAGAAAUAGCAAACCCGCUUUGCUUACGGUUAUGUUUUUAUUUGGACGAACGCAGCAAUGCUGCUUCAUUUUAUAUUAAGAGAAAGAGUUACAACAAGUAAUUGGGCGGUGAUGAAGGUGACCACCAAGGUAGACAAAUGGAGGGCACAGAUAACAAGUUUCAUAGAAUCAUAGUACCAUCAAGGAGGCCUCCAUGUUAGCCUCCUUGGUGGUGUCACCACUCUUCUACAUUUUGCUCUACGGGAAUGUGGAACGCUGGUGUUUUAUCCUACGUCUGUGCUCUACGCUUACCAGUCGAAUUGUUUUGUGUGCUAUCCAUUUUUACAGAGAAAGCAGCCUUUAGAUUGCUCAAUCAAUAGGUCUUUUUCAAGCAUAGGCAAAAGGUAAUUUUAGGGGUCAUGGAGCCAUAUAUAUCUAUAAAUGAUAAUGAUGUUGUGCCCGCCCUGUUAGAUUCUCUCGGGUAGUGAACAAAGGUUGCUUUUCACAAACUCAGUCGCCUAGACUCAACGAUCAGUCUUGCUAUCAUAGUUGAAGCCUACCCGGUUACACCCCAUUUGCAGCGCCAUGGCUGACCUCAACAUCCUUUUUUUUUCUUGAGGUGAUUGCCUCACAUCUUGGGCAUGAACCAUGAGAGGUUCACCUGGGGUCGAUCGAUCUCGCUCACGCCGUUUGCUACCAGGUUUCUUCGCAACAGCUGUUUUGAAGUUGGCAGCCAGGACCAUGAGCAACGUAAACACGCAAUUGGAUCGAUGGGAGCUUGGAACUUCUCCCCAUUAAUGUGCCGCCAGCGUCUUCCACCGUUUUAUGAAAUGUACUACCCGCUGCUCCUAAAUACAGUACAAGUCUUUUUAAUGAUUUUAAUAUGAACUACAUAUGGAGCAAAAUAAGUGAAUCUACACUCUAAAAUAUGUCUAUAUACAUCUGUAUGUAAUCCUUAUUGAAAUUGAAAUCUCUAAAAAGACAUAUUUUUUUAAGGACGGAGGGAGUACUACGGAGUGUGUAAGUAGUUCCAGUGAUACUUUUCCUGCCCUAUCUGCCGCCAAUGCUUCACUUGUUCCGUGUUGGAAUGGGGCAUAUCUUUCGUUGCCCAUUAGUAUAGACGCCAAUGAGCAAUCAAACUAGUUUCCUCAUCGUAUCCUCUUGGGUUGUGCAGAGUUUGCAGUGAAAAACAUAAUCAGCUGUUAUUUGCAUAACUCUUCCAGUGUGAAUUACUACUACAAUCAGCAAAACUGCAUCCAUGUCAUUAUGGAUUUUGCACACAAAAAAACAUGAUACAGAAGCAUUGCAGAGGGCAGAUAAAACUUGCUAUCCAAAUCAUGGAAACAAAACUCAAUAGCGACAGACAGUCAACAGCAUCUCGCUAGUACAACUUCAGGUUACGUAUAUAGGAAUGAAAAUGCUAAAUGGUGGACGAGCUCCAUGGAGCUCGUUUUUUUGAAAAAAAAAACCCCGGAAAUUAUAGCUCCCAAGUUUCAAAAAAUCCUAAAAAGAUCACACGCGUUCAUACAGAUGUAAAUUUUAAAGAUGAUACUAUAAAUUAAUGGCGAGAGCUUCACUAGUUAGAGAAAAUCGUGAUUCUGAAAAUGGUGAACAUGUUUUGUGUAGCUCUUCAUCGUUAGAACGUGUAGAUUUUUCUCAGAAUAUUUUUAUUCAAAAUGUGUUUUUUGCUUCUUUUUGCUCAGGACAUUAAUAAUAUCCAAUCUAACCCAAAUAUCCAAUCCAAUUCACAGGUCGAUUGGUAUGGAUUUUUUUUCAGUACUACAGUACUGCAAAACUAUCUCAUCAUGCAAAAAAGAUUUUUUAAACAAACAUCAACAACAUAACACAGACAAUCAUAGCACAUGAGAUAAAACCCACUAGCCAGCAGAGUAACACAGCAACAAUAUAUAUCCAGAUCAUGGAAACAAUACUCUUAAUAGCAACUGUUAAGAGAAAGCAACAGCAGAGAAGGAACAAAUCUCGCUAGUACAACUUCAGGUUAUAUAGGACAUUGUAAACAUAGCAGGCAACUUUCCUCCUCAAACGACCAGAGCCUUACAGUCCAUUCCAUCCUUGCCUAACAAAAAUGCAACCUAAGACCUGGGCUUCUCCUUCUUCUCCUUGAAGAGAGCGAGAAGCGACACACCAGAUACCUUGACAACCUUGAACCUGACACCGGGAAUAUCUCCCACGGCAUGACCCUUACGACCGAAUCCAGCAAUCAGCACCUCGUCCUGAAGCAUCCAUCAAGUCAAGAGGUUAGGUUGGUUGCAUAUAGCAGACAUAUCACAUAUAUGCGAGCAAUGGAGGUUAGGUUGGCUGCAUAUAGCAGACAUAUCGCAUAUAUCUGAGAAAUGGGUGAGGGGCACAUACGUUCUCCUCGAUGAAGUUCAGGCAACCAUCAUUGGGCACAAAGGCAGCGAUCUUCUUCCCGUUCUUCACCAGCUGGACACGAGCACACUUACGGAUGGCAGAGUUAGGCUG
rnacentral:lncRNA from 1 species